CAGCGGCAGACGGGUGAGUAACGCGUGGGAACGUACCUUUUGGUUCGGAACAACUGAGGGAAACUUCAGCUAAUACCGGAUAAGCCCUUACGGGGAAAGAUUUAUCGCCGAAAGAUCGGCCCGCGUCUGAUUAGCUAGUUGGUGAGGUAAUGGCUCACCAAGGCGACGAUCAGUAGCUGGUCUGAGAGGAUGAUCAGCCACAUUGGGACUGAGACACGGCCCAAACUCCUACGGGAGGCAGCAGUGGGGAAUAUUGGACAAUGGGCGAAAGCCUGAUCCAGCCAUGCCGCGUGAGUGAUGAAGGCCCUAGGGUUGUAAAGCUCUUUUGUGCGGGAAGAUAAUGACGGUACCGCAAGA
rnacentral:rRNA from 1 species